AGCUGUAAGUAAGCUUUGAUCCAGAGAUUUCCGAAUGGGGAAACCCAGCAUGAGUUAUGUCAUGUUAUCGAUAUGUGAAUACAUAGCAUAUCAGAAGGCACACCCGGAGAACUGAAACAUCUUAGUACCCGGAGGAAGAGAAAGAAAAUUCGAUUCCCUUAGUAGCGGCGAGCGAAACGGGAAGAGCCCAAACCAACAAGCUUGCUUGUUGGGGUUGUAGGACACUCUAUACGGAGUUACAAAGGACGACAUUAGACGAAUCAUCUGGAAAGAUGAAUCAAAGAAGGUAAUAAUCCUGUAGUCGAAAAUGUUGUCUCUCUUGAGUGGAUCCUGAGUACGACGGAGCACGUGAAAUUCCGUCGGAAUCUGGGAGGACCAUCUCCUAAGGCUAAAUACUCUCUAGUGACCGAUAGUGAACCAGUACCGUGAGGGAAAGGUGAAAAGCACCCCGGAAGGGGAGUGAAAUAGAACCUGAAACCGUGUGCUUACAAGUAGUCAGAGCCCGUUAAUGGGUGAUGGCGUGCCUUUUGUAGAAUGAACCGGCGAGUUACGAUUUGAUGCAAGGUUAAGCAGUAAAUGUGGAGCCGUAGCGAAAGCGAGUCUGAAUAGGGCGUUUAGUAUUUGGUCGUAGACCCGAAACCAGGUGAUCUACCCUUGGUCAGGUUGAAGUUCAGGUAACACUGAAUGGAGGACCGAACCGACUUACGUUGAAAAGUGAGCGGAUGAACUGAGGGUAGCGGAGAAAUUCCAAUCGAACCUGGAGAUAGCUGGUUCUCUCCGAAAUAGCUUUAGGGCUAGCCUCAAGUGAUGAUUAUUGGAGGUAGAGCACUGUUUGGACGAGGGGCCCCUCUCGGGUUACCGAAUUCAGACAAACUCCGAAUGCCAAUUAAUUUAACUUGGGAGUCAGAACAUGGGUGAUAAGGUCCGUGUUCGAAAGGGAAACAGCCCAGACCACCAGCUAAGGUCCCAAAAUAUAUGUUAAGUGGAAAAGGAUGUGGCGUUGCCCAGACAACUAGGAUGUUGGCUUAGAAGCAGCCAUCAUUUAAAGAGUGCGUAAUAGCUCACUAGUCGAGUGACACUGCGCCGAAAAUGUACCGGGGCUAAACAUAUUACCGAAGCUGUGGAUUGUCCUUUGGACAAUGGUAGGAGAGCGUUCUAAGGGCGUUGAAGCAUGAUCGUAAGGACAUGUGGAGCGCUUAGAAGUGAGAAUGCCGGUGUGAGUAGCGAAAGACGGGUGAGAAUCCCGUCCACCGAUUGACUAAGGUUUCCAGAGGAAGGCUCGUCCGCUCUGGGUUAGUCGGGUCCUAAGCUGAGGCCGACAGGCGUAGGCGAUGGAUAACAGGUUGAUAUUCCUGUACCACCUAUAAUCGUUUUAAUCGAUGGGGGGACGCAGUAGGAUAGGCGAAGCGUGCGAUUGGAUUGCACGUCUAAGCAGUAAGGCUGAGUAUUAGGCAAAUCCGGUACUCGUUAAGGCUGAGCUGUGAUGGGGAGAAGACAUUGAGUCUUCGAGUCGUUGAUUUCACACUGCCGAGAAAAGCCUCUAGAUAGAAAAUAGGUGCCCGUACCGCAAACCGACACAGGUAGUCAAGAUGAGAAUUCUAAGGUGAGCGAGCGAACUCUCGUUAAGGAACUCGGCAAAAUGACCCCGUAACUUCGGGAGAAGGGGUGCUCUUUAGGGUUAACGCCCAGAAGAGCCGCAGUGAAUAGGCCCAAGCGACUGUUUAUCAAAAACACAGGUCUCUGCUAAACCGUAAGGUGAUGUAUAGGGGCUGACGCCUGCCCGGUGCUGGAAGGUUAAGAGGAGUGGUUAGCUUCUGCGAAGCUACGAAUCGAAGCCCCAGUAAACGGCGGCCGUAACUAUAACGGUCCUAAGGUAGCGAAAUUCCUUGUCGGGUAAGUUCCGACCCGCACGAAAGGCGUAACGAUUUGGGCACUGUCUCAACGAGAGACUCGGUGAAAUCAUAGUACCUGUGAAGAUGCAGGUUACCCGCGACAGGACGGAAAGACCCCGUGGAGCUUUACUGUAGCCUGAUAUUGAAAUUCGGCACAGCUUGUACAGGAUAGGUAGGAGCCUUUGAAACGUGAGCGCUAGCUUACGUGGAGGCGCUGGUGGGAUACUACCCUAGCUGUGUUGGCUUUCUAACCCGCACCACUUAUCGUGGUGGGAGACAGUGUCAGGCGGGCAGUUUGACUGGGGCGGUCGCCUCCUAAAAGGUAACGGAGGCGCUCAAAGGUUCCCUCAGAAUGGUUGGAAAUCAUUCAUAGAGUGUAAAGGCAUAAGGGAGCUUGACUGCGAGACCUACAAGUCGAGCAGGGUCGAAAGACGGACUUAGUGAUCCGGUGGUUCCGCAUGGAAGGGCCAUCGCUCAACGGAUAAAAGCUACCCCGGGGAUAACAGGCUUAUCUCCCCCAAGAGUUCACAUCGACGGGGAGGUUUGGCACCUCGAUGUCGGCUCAUCGCAUCCUGGGGCUGUAGUCGGUCCCAAGGGUUGGGCUGUUCGCCCAUUAAAGCGGUACGCGAGCUGGGUUCAGAACGUCGUGAGACAGUUCGGUCCCUAUCCGUCGUGGGCGUAGGAAAUUUGAGAGGAGCUGUCCUUAGUACGAGAG
rnacentral:rRNA from 1 species